rnacentral:sRNA from 1 species
UAGAAAGAUUGGUCUUUGGCAGAAGAGAAAUGAUCCUGGAUGGCAGCUUUAAGAUGCAUGGAAAAGUGAAGACCAAAGAAAGGAGAAAUAAGAUGAGAUCAUGAUGCAGCCGUCCUUUUGGAUUUCUUUUUAAUAAUGUGUGACCCUUCACCUUUGAUCCCCUGACCUGCAUUACCUUGGUAACCAUUUCAUUUUUUAAUUUAAUUUCAUUUUUUAAUUUUGGUGUACAAGCUGUAACAUUUCAUCUUUCAAAGUGUAACACGCUGAUUUCCUCAAAUAGAGAUACCCCUUUGAGUGAUAAAUUUGCAAAAUGCUGUCUUCAUUUUCUGUAUUAAAAUUCAUUUCAGUUUUAAAAUAAAGUGUAAUCUGUGUUUUCAUCCUUUU